GAUGAACGCUGGCGGCGUGCCUAAUACAUGCAAGUCGAACGGACAGACGAUGAGCUUGUGCCUCUCACGUUAGCGGCGGGCGGGUGAGUAACACGUGUAUAACCUACUUAUAUUUCGGGGAUAACUACGGGAAACCGGAUAUAAUACCGGAGAAUAUACUGAACCGCAGGGGGCAAUGGAGAAAGGCGGUUUUGCUGUCUGUUAUAGCUGCUUCCGGGCCGGAUUGGCUAGUUGGUAAGGUCACGGGUUACCAAGGCGACGAUGCGUAGCCGAGCGGAGAGGCUGAUCGGCCACACUGGAACUGAGACACCGUCCAGACUCCUACGGGAGGCAGCAGUAGGCAAUCUUCGGCAAUGGGCGAAAGCCUUACGGAGCAAGGCCGCGUGAGUGACGAAGGCCUUCGGAUCGUAAAGCUCUGUUAUUAGGGAAGAACAGCUGUGGACUUAAACAUGGACGUAUUGACGGUACCUAAUCAAGAAGCACCGGCUAACUACGUG
rnacentral:rRNA from 1 species